UACAGAGGGGGCCAGCGUUAUUCGGAAUUAUUGGGCGUAAAGGGCGCGUAGGCGGCCUGACAAGUGGAAGGUGAAAUCCCUCGGCUUAACCGAGGAACUGCCCUCCAAACUGUUUGGCUUGAGUCCGGGAGAGGUGAGUGGAAUUCCCAGUGUAGCGGUGAAAUGCGUAGAUAUUGGGAGGAACACCAGUGGCGAAGGCGGCUCACUGGACCGGAACUGACGCUGAUGCGCGAAAGCGUGGGGAGCAAACGGG
rnacentral:rRNA from 1 species